CCUAGGCAGAUUGCCUACCACGGCUGACGACCUCCACCUGCCCGGGUUUAUUGUUCGGAGUUUGCUCUCCUAGGUGAAUUGCCUACCACGGCUGACGACCUCCACCUGCCCGGGUUUAUUGUUCGGAGUUUGCUCUCCUAGGCAGAUUGCCUACCACGGCUGACGAGCUCCACCUGCCCGGGUUUGUUGUUCGGAGUUUGCUCUCCUAGGUGAAUUGCCUACCACGGCUAACGAGCCUCACCUGCCCGGGUUUGUUUAGAGUUUGCUCUCCUAGGUGAAUUGCCUACCACGGCUAACGAGCCUCACCUGCCCGGGUUUGUUUAGAGUUUGCUCUCCUAGGUGAACUGCCUCCCACGGCUAACGAGCCUCACCUGCCCGGGUUUGUUUAGAGUUUGCUCUCCUAGGUGAAUUGCCUACCACGGCUAACGACCUCCACCUGCCCGGGUUUGUUUAGAGUUUGCUCUCCUAGGUGAAUUGCCUACCACGGCUAACGAGCCUCACCUGCCCGGGUUUGUUUAGAGUUUGCUCUCCUAGGUGAAUUGCCUUCCACGGCUUACGAGCCUCACCUGCCCGGGUUUGUUUAGAGUUUGCUCUCCUAGGUGAAUUGCCUCCCACGGCUAACGACCUCCACCUGCCCGGGUUUAUUGUUCGGAGUUUGCUCUCCUAGGUGAAUUGCCUCCCACGGCUAACGACCUCCACCUGCCCGGGUUUGUAUAGAGUUUGCUCUCCUAGGUGAAUUGCCUACCACGGCUAACGACCUCCACCUGCCCGGGUUUGUAUAGAGUUUGCUCUCCUAGGUGAAUUGCCUACCACGGCUAACGAGCCUCACCUGCCCGGGUUUGUAUAGAGUUUGCUCUCCUAGGUGAAUUGCCUACCACGGCUAACGAGCCUCACCUGCCCGGGUUUGUUUAGAGUUUGCUCUCCUAGGUGAAUUGCCUACCACGGCUAACGAGCCUCACCUGCCCGGGUUUGUAUAGAGUUUGCUCUCCUAGGUGAAUUGCCUUCCACGGCUUACGAGCCUCACCUGCCCGGGUUUGUAUAGAGUUUGCUCUCCUAGGUGAAUUGCCUUCCACGGCUAACGAGCCUCACCUGCCCGGGUUUGUAUAGAGUUUGCUCUCCUAGGCAGAUUGCCUACCACGGCUAACGAGCUCCACCUGCCCGGGUUUGUAGCCGGAAGAUCUCCGGCACCUCCGUCGGGGCCCGGAGGGACGCCGAGGAGCCCUGCCUGGAGCCCUCCAUUCCUGCCAUGCUCGCCAGGGAGACCUUGGGCUCGCUGGCGCUCCACACCCCCGCCGAGGCGAGGAUGCAAGAACUCGCUUCUUAAAACUACCAGACUGGAUUAUAAAAUUAAUCAUAAUUACUGUGAAGGCGCCGGU